CCUACGGGAGGCAGCAGUGAGGAAUAUUGGUCAAUGGGCGUAAGCCUGAACCAGCCAAGCCGCGUGAGGGAUGAAGGUUCUAUGGAUCGUAAACCUCUUUUAUAAGGGAAUAAAGUGUGGGACGUGUCCUAUUUUGUAUGUACCUUAUGAUUCAGGAUCGGCUAACUCCGGGCCAGCAGCCGCGGUAAUACGGAGGAUCCGAGCGUUAUCCGGAUUUAUUGGGUUUAACGGGUGCGUAGGCGGCCUUUUAAGUCAGCGGUGAAAGUCUGUGGCUCAACCAUGGAAUUGCCGUUGAAACUGGGGGGCUAGAGUAUGUUGGAGGCAGGCGGAAUUCGUGGUGUAGCGGUGAAAUGCGUAGAUAUCACGAAGAACCCCAAUUGCGAAGGCAGCCUGCCAAGCCAUGACUGACGCUGAUGCACGAAAGCGUGGGGAUCAAACAGGAUUAGAUACCCCUGUAGUC
rnacentral:rRNA from 1 species